UAGGGAAUAUUGGACAAUGGGGGCAACCCUGAUCCAGCCAUGCCGCGUGAGUGAAGAAGGCCCUCGGGUUGUAAAGCUCUUUUGUCCGGAAAGAAAAGCUUCGGGUUAAUACCCCGGGGUUCUGACGGUACCGGAAGAAUAAGCACCGGCUAACUUCGUGCCAGCAGCCGCGGUAAUACGAAGGGUGCAAGCGUUACUCGGAAUUACUGGGCGUAAAGCGUGCGUAGGUGGUUGUUUAAGUCUGAUGUGAAAGCCCUGGGCUCAACCUGGGAAUGGCAUUGGAAACUGGGCAGCUAGAGUGCGGUAGAGGGUAGUGGAAUUCCCGGUGUAGCAGUGAAAUGCGUAGAGAUCGGGAGGAACAUCUGCGGCGAAGGCGACUGCCUGGACCAGCACUGACACUGAGGCACGAAAGCGUGGGGAGCAAACA
rnacentral:rRNA from 1 species